rnacentral:pre_miRNA from 1 species
AUUGUACUCUCUUCGUUCAAAAAUAUUUGUCAUUAAAAUGGAUCAAAAAAGAUGUAUCUAGAUGUAUUUUAAUUUUAGAUAUAUCUCAUUUUAUUUAUUUUGAUAACAAGUAUUUUUAAAUGGAGGAAGUAAGUU